UUGAACGCUGGCGGCAGGCCUAACACAUGCAAGUCGAACGGUAACAGGAAGCAGCUUGCUGCUUCGCUGACGAGUGGCGGACGGGUGAGUAAUGUCUGGGAAACUGCCUGAUGGAGGGGGAUAACUACUGGAAACGGUAGCUAAUACCGCAUAACGUCGCAAGACCAAAGAGGGGGACCUUCGGGCCUCUUGCCAUCGGAUGUGCCCAGAUGGGAUUAGCUAGUAGGUGGGGUAACGGCUCACCUAGGCGACGAUCCCUAGCUGGUCUGAGAGGAUGACCAGCCACACUGGAACUGAGACACGGUCCAGACUCCUACGGGAGGCAGCAGUGGGGAAUAUUGCACAAUGGGCGCAAGCCUGAUGCAGCCAUGCCGCGUGUAUGAAGAAGGCCUUCGGGUUGUAAAGUACUUUCAGCGGGGAGGAAGGGAGUAAAGUUAAUACCUUUGCUCAUUGACGUUACCCGCAGAAGAAGCACCGGCUAACUCCGUGCCAGCAGCCGCGGUAGUACGGAGGGUGCAAGCGUUAAUCGGAAUUACUGGGCGUAAAGCGCACGCAGGCGGUUUGUUAAGUCAGAUGUGAAAUCCCCGGGCUCAACCUGGGAACUGCAUCUGAUACUGGCAAGCUUGAGUCUCGUAGAGGGGGGUAGAAUUCCAGGUGUAGCGGUGAAAUGCGUAGAGAUCUGGAGGAAUACCGGUGGCGAAGGCGGCCCCCUGGACGAAGACUGACGCUCAGGUGCGAAAGCGUGGGGAGCAAACAGGAUUAGAUACCCUGGUAGUCCACGCCGUAAACGAUGUCGACUUGGAGGUUGUGCCCUUGAGGCGUGGCUUCCGGAGCUAACGCGUUAAGUCGACCGCCUGGGGAGUACGGCCGCAAGGUUAAAACUCAAAUGAAUUGACGGGGGCCCGCACAAGCGGUGGAGCAUGUGGUUUAAUUCGAUGCAACGCGAAGAACCUUACCUGGUCUUGACAUCCACAGAACUUUCCAGAGAUGGAUUGGUGCCUUCGGGAACUGUGAGACAGGUGCUGCAUGGCUGUCGUCAGCUCGUGUUGUGAAAUGUUGGGUUAAGUCCCGCAACGAGCGCAACCCUUAUCCUUUGUUGCCAGCGGUCCGGCCGGGAACUCAAAGGAGACUGCCAGUGAUAAACUGGAGGAAGGUGGGGAUGACGUCAAGUCAUCAUGGCCCUUACGACCAGGGCUACACACGUGCUACAAUGGCGCAUACAAAGAGAAGCGACCUCGCGAGAGCAAGCGGACCUCAUAAAGUGCGUCGUAGUCCGGAUUGGAGUCUGCAACUCGACUCCAUGAAGUCGGAAUCGCUAGUAAUCGUGGAUCAGAAUGCCACGGUGAAUACGUUCCCGGGCCUUGUACACACCGCCCGUCACACCAUGGGAGUGGGUUGCAAAAGAAGUAGGUAGCUUAACCUUCGGGAGGGCGCUUACCACUUUGUGAUUCAUGACUGGGGUG
rnacentral:rRNA from 1 species